AGGCACGUAGCUCAGUUGGUUAGAGCACCACCUUGACAUGGUGAGGGUCGUUGGUUCGAGUCCAAUCGCGCCUACCA
rnacentral:tRNA from 2 species